rnacentral:rRNA from 1 species
AUUGAACGCUGGCGGCAGGCCUAACACAUGCAAGUCGAACGGUAACAGGAAGCAGCUUGCUGCUUCGCUGACGAGUGGCGGACGGGUGAGUAAUGUCUGGGAAACUGCCUGAUGGAGGGGGAUAACUACUGGAAACGGUAGCUAAUACCGCAUAACGUCGCAAGACCAAAGAGGGGGACCUUCGGGCCUCUUGCCAUCGGAUGUGCCCAGAUGGGAUUAGCUAGUAGGUGGGGUAACGGCUCACCUAGGCGACGAUCCCUAGCUGGUCUGAGAGGAUGACCAGCCACACUGGAACUGCGACACGGUCCAGACUCCUACGGGAGGCAGCAGUUGGGAAUAUUGGACAAUGGGCGCAAGCCUGAUGCAGCCAUGCCGCGUGUAUGAAGAAGGCCUUCGGGUUGUAAAGUACUUUCAGCGGGGAGGAAGGCGAUAAGGUUAAUAACCUUGUCGAUUGACGUUACCCGCAGAAGAAGCACCGGCUAACUCCGUGCCAGCCGCCGCAGUAA